rnacentral:rRNA from 1 species
AUUGAACGCUGGCGGCAGGCCUAACACAUGCAAGUCGAGCGAGCGGCGGACGGGUGAGUAAUGUAUGGGGACUGCCCGAUAGAGGGGGAUAACUACUGGAAACGGUGGCUAAUACCGCAUACUAUCGGAUAACCCAUAUGGGAUUAGCUAGUAGGUGGGGUAAAGGCUCACCUAGGCGACGAUCUCUAGCUGGUCUGAGAGGAGGAUCAGCCAAACGGGGACGUCGACACGGCCCGUACUCCAACGGAGGCAGCAGUGGGGAAUAUUGCACAAUGGGCGAAAGCCUGAUGCUGCCAUGCCGCGUGUAUGAAGAAGGCCUUAGGGUUGUAAAGUACUUUCAGCGGUGAGGCGUUACCCGCAGAAGAAGCACCGGCUAACUCCGUGCCAGCAGCCGCGGUAAUAC